CCUACGGGUUGCACCAGUGGGGAAUAUUGCACAAUGGGCGCAAGCCUGAUGCAGCCAUGCCGCGUGUAUGAAGAAGGCCUUCGGGUUGUAAAGUACUUUCAGGGGGGAGGAAGGUGUUGAGGUUAAUAACCUCAGCAAUUGACGUUACCCACAGAAGAAGCACCGGCUAACUCCGUGCCAGCAGCCGCGGUAAUACGGAGGGUGCAAGCGUUAAUCGGAAUUACUGGGCGUAAAGCGCACGCAGGCGGUCUGUCAAGUCGGAUGUGAAAUCCCCGGGCUCAACUGGGAACUGCAUUCGAAACUGGCAGGCUAGAGUCUUGUAGAGGGGGGUAGAAUUCCAGGUGUAGCGGUGAAAUGCGUAGAGAUCUGGAGGAAUACCGGUGGCGAAGGCGGCCCCCUGGACAAAGACUGACGCUCAGGUGCGAAAGCGUGGGGAGCAAACAGGAUUAGAUACCCCUGUAGUC
rnacentral:rRNA from 1 species